rnacentral:rRNA from 1 species
UACGGAGGGGGCAAGCGUUGUUCGGAAUUACUGGGCGUAAAGGGCUCGUAGGUGGCCAACUAAGUCAGACGUGAAAUCCCUCGGCUUAACCGGGGAACUGCGUCUGAUACUGGAUGGCUUGAGUUUGGGAGAGGGAUGCGGAAUUCCAGGUGUAGCGGUGAAAUGCGUAGAUAUCGAGAGGAACACCUGCGGCGAAGGCGGGUUGCUGGGCCGACACUGACGCUGAUGCGCGAAAGCCAGGGGAGCGAACGGG